GGCAGGAUAGUCCAGCUGAUAGGAUACUGGAGUAGAAAUCCAGACAUCUGGGCUUGAUUCCUAGCCUUGCCC
rnacentral:tRNA from 1 species